CCUCCUGCCACGAGCGACUUUACUACGAACUUCUUUCGGACUUCGUCAAUGUCCGAGCUUCUCCAACAGUAGGACUUCUACAGUAACCAGAUGCCAUCCAAGUUUCUACGGUGGUCGACCACCUUUCAAAUUUCAUCCGAGCUCCUACAAGAGCCGGAUCCCAGUCGAACUUCUACAACGGAUGGAUCCCGGAUGAAUUUCUACAACAGAUGGGCUCCACCAGCC
rnacentral:lncRNA from 1 species